GCUAUAAUAAAUUAACAAUCAAAUUUUUUAACUGAUUUGAAUCGACAUUAUCGGAUCCAAGUAUACACCGGAUUGUGUUGUUAUAGCAACAUAAAAAUAUAUUUUUAUUCGGACAGCUUUAGGCUAAAUGUACACGAGCAACAUUUUCGUACGCGCGCGAUUCUACUACACCAUAUGUCUUUCUUUAUUUUCCUAUUAAGAACAACAAAGGUAGUCAUAUGACUACACGAUAUUGCACUAUAAAAUGUCGCUCGUGGAAUUUCCGUGUAAAGUAGCGCUAUCCAGCGGUGGAGUCUUUCAUUUCAUUUAUUUCUUUCUUCUAUCAUCUUUUUCUGUAUUAUGCCCACAUUGUAAUAUUAAACAAGUAAUUAUAAAGUUAAUGUUUUAGUUAUUAAUAACAUUUUUCAAACGUCAAAAUUGUAGAUAACACAAUCAUAUAAACAAGUCUAGACAUAUUAAAAGCACUAAAGAAACCAUUUGAAAAUUGAGUCGUGAAAAAUCAAUAUGGAACAUAAGAAUGUUCUCGUUCUAUGUAGGCGUGAUAUACUAUGACUGUCUUAGAUAAAGACAAAGACAUUCUACCCACCUCUGUCUACCUUGUGGUUAUCCCUAGCGAGUGUCGACACCUGUCUAUACAGAGAUGAGUUUCUAUGAUCGAUCAUAUACAUAUGUAUAUAUAAGCAUGAUUCAGGGUAAUCUCCUCACCUCAAAAAGGCAAUAUGUACCAUCGAUCACAAUUUUAUUUAAUCUACUCUAGUUAUGCGAGAAAUAUUCAUAAUUUGGAAACACUACUACACUUUAUGUUAACAGUAAAAGAUUCAGUCUUUAUUUUUAUUUACUUAAAACAUAUCUCAAAUAUAUCUAAUUAUAAUUUUAUUUAUUUAUUAUUAUUAAAAAUAUAUUUAUGUUAAAUAUGCAUAACUUUAAAUAAAAUUUAAUUGUUUCAUUAGA